CAUAGCCAAAAAUAACUAAUGGAUUAAGAGUUGGAUUACUCACGAAUCUAACAUCACCGCCACCUGGUGCCCAAGUAUCAUAUACUCCACCAACAAAUAGAGCUUUGAUUACUAAUAAAAAUGCUCCAAUACCUAGUAAUACUAAAUGUAUGCCAAGUAUUGUUGUCAUCUUAUUUUUAUCGCGCCA
rnacentral:antisense_RNA from 12 species